rnacentral:rRNA from 1 species
GAACGCUGGCGGCGUGCCUAACACAUGCAAGUCAAGGAGAAUUCCCGACUUGUCGGGAUAGUAAACUGGCGAACGGGUGAGUAACACGUAGGUAAUCUACCCUCGGGAUCGGGAUAACCUCGCGAAAGUGGGGAUAAUACCGAAUAAAGUCUCGGUAUAAUUUGUCGAGAUGAAAGAUGGGGAUCUUCGGACCUAUUACCUGAGGGAUGAGCCUGCGCCUGAUUAGCUAGUUGGUAGGGUAAAUGCCUACCAAGGCAACGAUCAGUAGCUGGUCUGAGAGGAUGAUCAGCCACAUUGGGACUGAGAUACGGCCCAGACUCCUACGGGAGGCAGCAGUGAGGAAUUUUGCGCAAUGGGCGAAAGCCUGACGCAGCAACGCCGCGUGACUGAUUAAGCUCUGAGGAGUGUAAAAGUCUGUCGUAGAGGAAGAAACUAUCCGAUAAGAAUAUUGUCGGAUACUGACGGUACUCUAUGAGAAAGCUCCGGCUAACUCCGUG